rnacentral:rRNA from 1 species
GAUGAACGCUGGCGGCGUGCCUAAUACAUGCAAGUCGAGCGAACAGACGAGGAGCUUGCUCCUCUGACGUUAGCGGCGGACGGGUGAGUAACACGUGGAUAACCUACCUAUAAGACUGGGAUAACUUCGGGAAACCGGAGCUAAUACCGGAUAAUAUAUUGAACCGCAUGGUUCAAUAGUGAAAGACGGUUUUGCUGUCACUUAUAGAUGGAUCCGCGCCGCAUUAGCUAGUUGGUAAGGUAACGGCUUACCAAGGCAACGAUGCGUAGCCGACCUGAGAGGGUGAUCGGCCACACUGGAACUGAGACACGGUCCAGACUCCGACGGGAGGCAGCAGUAGGGAAUCUUCCGCAAUGGGCGAAAGCUUGACGGAGCAACGCCGCGUGAGUGAUGAAGGUCUUCGGAUCGUAAAACUCUGUUAUUAGGGAAGAACAAAUGUGUAAGUAACUAUGCACGUCUGGACGGUACCUAAUCAGAAAGCCACGGCUAACUACGG